CCACCGAAUAGGUUUGUAGACAAAUGACACAUUUCAUUCAAACGGCGACUUUAAAACUUUGAAAUUUACGCAUUAAGAUGCGCAAUGACUCAGGAGGUUCAGUGUAAUUUUUUUGUUAUUCCUUAAAAUUAAAUCGCCCACUUUGAAAUUCGAAUGGAUUAUAAUAUUAUAGGUGCGGCAAAUAUGUAUUAUUGUCCUUGUCCGCGUGUAAAAAAACCACUAGCGGACCUGUCAAUAGCGAUACAGUUUUUGAUGAAAACGUGUAUUUAUUUUUUUUUUUUUUUUUUUUUUUGCCGAAACCCUGGAGGGUAUUUUGCGCGCUUAUAUCCGCGGGGAAAAACCUAUAAAGUCGACCCGGGAGAAUAUUACAUCUGCAGUGGUACUGCACACCGCGCGUUUCGGUUCGUCGCGAGACGUCACGGUUGCCGACGGGGCCUCGCAAUAUUAUUUAAAAUAUUACAUUUUUUUUUUUUUUAUUUUUUUAUUAUUAUUUUUAUUUUUUUCAUUUCGUUUCUCCCGACCGCUCGGAACUAAAACACAAUAAUGACGAUAACGAUAACGAUGUUUUUACGCGUACGUUUGCACACGUCGCUUUACGGCUUGUCCGACAUUAUGAUAUUUUAUAUUUUUUACACAAUAUUAUGUUAUUAUAAUAUACGAUAGCGGCCUGAAGACGCGAAUUCGCUUCGCAAAUAUUAAUCAACACUCACACGCGCACGUGCAUGCCGCACACACGUGUGAUGCGGAUAGUUGUUUAGAGUAACACACACACACACACACACAAACGUACUUAUAAACACACACGUA